GUGUUACAACUCUCCUCCCCUUAAAGAAUUUGGUCCCCCAAAUUUGCCUCUUACUCUUGGUCGAAUAAAUGGGGAUACUGGGCUCUAAAUUAUGAUUCCAGUUCCCAAGUAGCCUCCCUGGGCGUGUGGUUCUGCCACACGACCUUUACAAAUGAUAUUUCCCGGUUGCGGAGUAUUCUACUCUCUCGAUCCGUGAUACCGACCGGUACUUCUUCAUAAGACAAGUCCUCUUGGAGUGGAAGCGGUUCAUGAGCCAAGACAUGAGAAGGGUCCGGGUUGUACUUACGUAACAUAGAUACGUGAAACACGUUGUGAACUCGGGAGACCUCGGGAGGCAGUGCUAGUCUGUAAGCAGCGG
rnacentral:lncRNA from 1 species